UACGAAGGGGGCUAGCGUUGUUCGGAAUUACUGGGCGUAAAGCGCACGUAGGCGGAUAUUUAAGUCAGGGGUGAAAUCCCGGGGCUCAACCCCGGAACUGCCUUUGAUACUGGCGAUCUUGAGUCCGGGAGAGGUGAGUGGAACUCCGAGUGUAGAGGUGAAAUUCGUAGAUAUUCGGAAGAACACCAGUGGCGAAGGCGGCUCACUGGCCCGGUACUGACGCUGAGGUGCGAAAGCGUGGGGAGCAAACAGGG
rnacentral:rRNA from 1 species